CAAAGAAAGCGGGAAAAUCUCCCUCCUCCUGAAACCCUAGAAAAAUCCGGAGUCACUCAAAGAGGAAGAAGAAGAAGAAGAAGAAGAUUGGCAAUGGAGGAGGAUACGCCCCCGAUCUUCGACCACUGCCUAGAAACCUCCUCUCAGAAAUCUCAGUUACAACGCUGCGGCUUUGCCUUUCAACGGGACGACCACCCAGAUUCUCAGCUCUCCACCGGAGCUGUGCCGCCAAAAAAUGGCUGGAAUUCCCCUCGCGAUGUUCCCGGAGAUUCGGAGAAGAUGGUGACUGACUCCGAACGGAGGCCCGACACAGAGGAUAACAUUGUCGCCCUUGAUCGGGCGGUUCCCGUUGUGUUGGAGGAGCAGACGACCGUGGCCGAGGUUUUCGGACCGAAUCGGCUAUCGCAUGAAGAAGGUGGUUCUAGGGUUUCGGAAAAGCCCAAUGAUCUGUCUGAUCAACCCUUGUCGUCGAGGAAAUUGAAAGAUGGGAAUAUGAAAUCUCCAGCGAAGGAAAAUGGGAAGACGAAGCUGAAGAUUCCGUUGAGGGAGGUGGUGAAAGCUAUCGUGAUGAACUCGAGGGACCAGAGGAACAAAGAGGAGGAAGAAAAAGACCUUGAGAAGAUGGAUUACGUACAAAUCCUCAUGUCAAAGGGAUUCAAAUUCCCAGAUUGAAGGUGAAAAUUGGAUCUCUCGCGAUAUCUCCGUAAAAUAAUCGAGAACCCUUCACUGUAUUUUCUCUGUUAUUGUCGUGGAAGGAAACCAUGGAUUAUUCAACCUGUUCUUGAUGCAGAUCGAAUUAUCCGUUCUGGGUUUGCAUCUCAGCAUUCGCCAUUCCGUGUUCUUGACAGAAACUAACCAUCACCUUGGAGCUGAUUCAAGCUGCAAACAAAGCUCGAGUUAACAAGUCUUAGUGAGAUCUUUGCCAGUGAUUCAAGAACGAGAAGACCGAAGAUCAAGAAACGGAGAAAAUAAGGUAAUCCGAAAACUACAAACACGAGCGUUAUACCGUUAAAUUUUCCGUGGAGACACCGUGAGAAGAUGAUUUUUACAUCACGGUCAAGUUCUGGUUGAUCUGGUUUUUGCCGUCUGAAACUGGUGUAGAGAAUGCUCCUUCCUCUGAAACAUAUCCUUCAUUUGUAUAUUUUUUGUUUAUCAAUGAAAAUAAUAUAAUACCAUACAAUAAAUCUUGAUACAAUCUAA